rnacentral:misc_RNA from 1 species
AAGUCGUAACAAGGUUUCCGUAGGUGAACCUGCGGAAGGAUCAUUAACACGUAUCCAACGUUAAACCCCCCUGUGAAUUUUAUCGCAGCUCUUGCAGAUGCCGGUAAGUUUGCAAUCCCUGGUAAAUCAUUGUUGAACAGAUUUUGAUUCAGGGACCUCUAACACCGACAGCUGCAAUUCGAGCGCUUGUGCAAGUGGCCUGGUUUCCCCAAGCUGCCAGUGUCUGAAAGUGUCGCUGGUUGUGUAAGGAAAACGCUUUUGUGGUAAAUUUGAGGUCAUACCCCACAUAUGUCAUUUUUUCUCAGUCGAGCGAGGUCUGGUAUGUUUUGGGCGCAGGAAACUGCUUCCCCUUAAAUCUGAACAACUGUUAACAAUGGAUAUCUUGGUUCUC